AGGAAGGAGGCCUCACCAGACACCUACCCUGCUGGCACCUUUACCUGAGACUUCUAGGCUCCAGAAUUGACCGUCAAGACUGCAUGUUCUAGAUAGUACAGUUACGAGAUGGCAGAGCUCUGAUAGCCUGGUGUCCUGAGUGCCUCUGUGGAGCUCGGCACUCUGCUAACCUGCUUUGGACAUAAACUAGAAACGGAGCCCAACACUCAACCCACUGGAUAUUUAUCACCUACCAUGCACCUUGAAGAGACUAUGGAGUGGUAGAAGAUUUUAAAAGGGGAAAAAAGAAG